UCGCUCAGGUCUCCCAGCAUCGACGGAUAUGCGUUUCGCUUUUUACUAAACGCAUCUGUGCUGGGAGACCUGAGCGAUAAUAUACGAGUGCGUUCGCCAUAUUUAUUUAAAUUAUCCAUAAGUAGAGU
rnacentral:snRNA from 1 species